GACGAACGCUGGCGGCGUGCUUAACACAUGCAAGUCGAACGAUGAAGCCGGAGCUUGCUCUGGUGAAUUAGUGGCGAACAGGUGAGUAACACGUGAGUAACCUGCCCUUGACUCUGGGAUAACUGCGGGAAACUGUAGCUAAUACCGGAUACGACCCUCGGAGGCAUCUCCUGGGGGUGGAAAGAAUUUCGGUCAAGGAUGGACUCGCGGCCUAUCAGCUAGUUGGUGAGGUAACGGCUCACCAAGGCGACGACGGGUAGCCGGCCUGAGAGGGUGACCGGCCACACUGGGACUGAGACACGGCCCAGACUCCUACGGGAGGCAGCAGUGGGGAAUAUUGCACAAUGGGCGCAAGCCUGAUGCAGCAACGCCGCGUGAGGGAUGACGGCCUUCGGGUUGUAAACCUCUUUUAGCAGGGAAGAAGCGAGAGUGACGGUACCUGCAGAAAAAGCACCGGCUAACUACGUGCCAGCCGCCGCGGUAA
rnacentral:rRNA from 1 species